CUCCUAUUCAAAGGACUUUGCAAGACUGGGAGGACUGCAGAACAAGAAAGGAAAAGGGAAAUGGGGAGAUACAAGUGAUUGCAACAGAGCUGGAAGAACAGUGCUGUACCCAUCACGGGAAAUCUCCAUCCCAAUGGAUUGCAUAAGGAAGAGAGAAAGAACAAUGAGACUUUCCCAGGGGCUCAAAUCCAAGAGAAGGCUGAAAAGUUAGAAAGGGAAAAGAAGGAGGUACAAAAAGGAUCAUCAGCUACACUACCACACAGAAGUAGCCUCUCUUCCCAUUCCUGCUCCAUCUGAUGUUACCACCAAAGACAAUUGAUCUCAUGGUCUAUGGAAUGUUGUGUAUGUCACUGACAGCACAGUCCUUGGUAAGCUUGAUAACUCGCAACACAAUAAAAUCAGCAGCAAAAAUAAUAACCAUCAGUCUAUAAAGACCAGGAUGAAC